AUGGUUCGACCCCCUUUCCCACGCCACGAUCCAUCCACGUACGUAACAGCUCAAAGAAAAUACGAGCCGGUUGGAACCCACGAACCCAACGCACGACUCCACUCUCCACACAACUGUUUGCUCCUCCCCAUCUUGAACUCUUUCCCUCCACCGGCACGCGCUUGCUGCCGCCCCACCUCCACCUCAGAUUCUGCCUCACCCCAUCCCGCCCUCUCCCUCUCCCUACACCCGCCGCUUCUCCUCCGUGACGUGUGGCCCAGCCACCGUUCGCCACCUCUCCCUCCACUGCGGCCGCUAGGGCCACGCUCCCGUGCGCACCGUGCAAUGCAAGUCUGCCGGGCCGGAGGGGUUCAAGGAGGAGCUGUGCAGGCCACUGGAGCUUCUCCUCGGGGAUCUCUGGCGGUGGGCGAAGGACCACCCAGAUCUCCCCGCGCUGGUGGAGGUGGUAAUGGACCUCGGCCACACCCGCUCGCCCUCUUCCCUUCAGGCGACUUCCUCCUCUCCCACCGCCUCUCUCAUAAUCCCUUGGCACCGACACGAUCGCAUAUUGGGUCGUUGUUCUCUGCAAACAUGAGUAGUUCUCGGUGCACCCAAGCAGCGCUGCCGACCGCAGCCUUCAACGCCUCCAGUGGACGUUGCCGCGCUCAGCUCAGGGGAGAGCGGUCGCAUCCCACCGCCACAUCGGCUCCGGGCAAAAGCCACGCGGCCGAAUCCCCCCACGCACCACCUCCUGCAGGUCUUCGUCCUUUAGGGGCCUUCAUGCUUCCGCUGCUCCACUUGUUGCACGGACGCAUCGGCUCAGGUUAG
rnacentral:rRNA from 1 species